AAGACUUUUAAAAAGGGUUCAAAAGAUAGGCUAAAUUUGGAUAUUUUGUAGGUUCGGUUUAAUAAGAAAAGAAAUAAAGUUUAUAUUUAAUAAAUAGGAUGGAAAUGGAAAAGUGAACUUAAAUAUCAAGAACGAUUCAAUACUAUAGAGAGUAUUGCCCCGGGACUUAUAUCACUUAAGGUGGAAAAUACGAAAGGUAGAAGAUGGACCUUGACCCGUUA
rnacentral:lncRNA from 1 species